CCCGCUGAACUUAAGCAUAUCAAUAAGCGGAGGAAAAGAAACCAACAGGGAUUGCCUCAGUAACGGCGAGUGAAGCGGCAAGAGCUCAAAUUUGAAAUCUGGGGCCUUUGGCUUCCGAGUUGUAAUUUGAAGAGGAUGCUUCGGUUGUAGCCUGGGCCUAAGUUCUUUGGAACAGGAUGUCGUAGAGGGUGAGAAUCCCGUACACGGCUACCGGCUUACUUCUAUGUGUAGCUCCUUCGAAGAGUCGAGUUGUUUGGGAAUGCAGCUCAAAAUGGGUGGUAAAUUUCAUCUAAAGCUAAAUAUUGGCGAGAGACCGAUAGCGCACAAGUAGAGUGAUCGAAAGAUGAAAAGCACUUUGAAAAGAGAGUUAAACAGUACGUGAAAUUGUUGAAAGGGAAGCGCUUGCAAUCAGACUUGCUUUCGGUUGAUCAUUGUUCCUUUUGGUUCAUGCACUCUUCCGUUAUGCAGGCCAGCAUCAGUUAGAGCGGUGGGAUAAAAACUUGAGGAAUGUGGCUCUCUUCGGGGAGUGUUAUAGCCUUUUGUAAUACCACCUGUCCUGACUGAGGUCCGCGGUUUGUCCUAGGAUGCUGGCUUAAUGGUUGUAAGCGACCCGUCUUGAAACACGG
rnacentral:rRNA from 1 species